rnacentral:rRNA from 1 species
UACGUAGGGGGCAAGCGUUGUCCGGAUUUAUUGGGCGUAAAGAGCUCGUAGGCGGCUCACUAAGUCGGAUGUGAAAACUCCAGGCUCAACCUGGAGACGCCAUUCGAUACUGGUGUGGCUUGAGUUCGGUAGGGGAGCACGGAAUUCCUGGUGUAGCGGUGAAAUGCGCAGAUAUCAGGAGGAACACCAAUAGCGAAGGCAGCUCGCUGGGACGGUACUGACGCUAAGGCGCGAAAGCGUGGGGAGCGAACAGG